rnacentral:rRNA from 1 species
GACGAACGCUGGCGGCGUGCUUAACACAUGCAAGUCGAACGGGUCUGCCCUGUUUUUUGCGGGGUGGGUCAGUGGCGAACGGGUGAGUAACACGUGAGUAACCUGCCCCUCACUUCUGGAUAACCGCUUGAAAGGGUGGCUAAUACGGGGUGUUCUGGCUGUGCCGCAUGGUGUGGCUGGGAAAGAUUCACUUUUGUGGUGUUUUGGUGGGGGAUGGGCUCGCGGCCUAUCAGCUUGUUGGUGGGGUGAUGGCCUGCCAAGGCUUUGACGGGUAGCCGGCCUGGGAGGGUGGGCGGUCACACUGGGACUGAGGUACGGCCCAGACUCCUGCGGGAGGCAGCAGUGGGGGGUAGUGCACAAUGGGCGGAAGCCUGAUGCAGCGACGUCGCGUGAGGGAUGGAGGCCUUCGGGUUGUGAACCUCUUUCGCCGGUGAAGAAGGUCCUGCUCUUUGUGGUGGGGUUGACGGUAGCCGGGUUAUGAAGCGCCGGCUAACUACGUG